GACGAACGCUGGCGGCGUGCUUAACACAUGCAAGUCGAACGGUAAGGCCCUUCGGGGUACACGAGUGGCGAACGGGUGCGUAACACUAAGGUAAUCUGACCUGCACCUCGGGUUAAGCCUGGGAAACUGGGUCUAAUACCGAAUAGGACCACAGGACCCAUGUCCUGGGGGGGAAAGCUUUUGUGGUGUGGGAUGGGGCCGCGGCCUCACCGCUUGUUGGUGUGGUGAUGGCCUUGCAAGGCGACGACGGUUAGCCGGCCCGGGAGGGUGUCCGGGCACGUUGGUGGUGAGAUAGGGACCAGGAUACGGCGGGGGGCAGUACUGGGGAAUAUUGCACAAAGGGCUAAAGCAUGAUGCGGCGACGCCUCGAGGGGGAUGACGGCCUGCGUGUUGUAAACCUCUUUGACCAUCGACGAAGGUCCGGGUUUUCUCGGGCUGACGGUAAGGGGAGAAGAAGCACCGGCCAACUACGUG
rnacentral:rRNA from 1 species